rnacentral:rRNA from 1 species
GACGAACCGUGCAAACGUUGUUCGGAAUCACUGGGCUUAAAGGGCGCGUAGGCGGGUUCCCAAGUCGGAGGUGAAAUCUUGCGGCCCAACCGUAAGAGGGCCUCCGAUACUGGGAGUCUCGAGGGAGGUAGGGGUCGGUGGAACUUCCGGUGGAGCGGUGAAAUGCGUAGAUAUCGGAAGGAACGCCGGUGGCGAAAGCGACCGACUGGACCUCUUCUGACGCUGAGGCGCGAAAGCCAGGGGAGCAAACGGG